rnacentral:rRNA from 1 species
GACGAACGCUGGCGGCGUGCUUAACACAUGCAAGUCGAACGGGAUUUAGUAAACAGAAACCUCGGUGGAAGAUUACUAAUGAGAGUGGCGAACGGGUUAGUAACGCGUGAGCAACCUGCCUAUGACAGUGGGAUAGCCUCGGGAAACCGGGAUUAAUACCGCAUAAAAUCGUAGAAACACAUGUUUUAACGGUCAAAGAUUUAUCGGUCAUAGAUGGGCUCGCGUCUGAUUAGCUAGUUGGUGAGAUAACAGCCCACCAAGGCGACGAUCAGUAGCCGGUCUGAGAGGAUGAACGGCCACAUUGGAACUGAGACACGGACCAAAAUCCUACGGGAGGGAGCAGUGGGGAAUAUUGCACAAUGGGGGAAACCCUGAUGCAGCGACGCCGCGUGAACGAAGAAGGUAUUCGUAUCGUAAAGUUCUGUCCUAUGGGAAGAUAAUGACAGUACCAUAGAAGAAAGCUCCGGCUAAAUACGUG